rnacentral:rRNA from 1 species
AUUGAACGCUGGCGGCAGGCCUAACACAUGCAAGUCGAACGAGUGGCGGACGGGUGAGUAAUGUCUGGGAAACUGCCUGAUGGAGGGGGAUAACUACUGGAAACGGUAGCUAAUACCGCAUACCAUCGGAGGUGCCCAGAUGGGAUUAGCUUGUAGGUGCGGUAACGGCUCACCUAGGCGACGAUCCCUAGCUGGUCUGAGAGGAUGACCAGCCACCCUGGAACGUAGACACGGUCCAGACUCCAACGGGAGGCAGCAGUGGGGAAUAUUGCACAAUGGGCGCAAGCCUGAUGCGGCCAUGCCGCGUGUAUGAAGAAGGCCUUCGGGUUGUAAAGUACUUUCAGCGGGGAGGCGUUACCCGCAGAAGAAGCACCGGCUAACUCCGUGCCAGCCGCCGCGGUAAUUC